rnacentral:tRNA from 1 species
GCGCUGAUAGUUUAGUGGUAGAAUUCAGCCUUGCCAAGGCUGUGGCCUGGGUUCGAAUCCCGGUCGGCGCA